AUUGCCCUAGUAACGGCGAGUGAAGCGGCAACAGCUCAAAUUUGAAAUCUGGCGUCUUUGGCGUCCGAGUUGUAAUUUGCAGAGGGCGCUUUGGCAUUGGCAGCGGUCCAAGUUCCUUGGAACAGGACGUCACAGAGGGUGAGAAUCCCGUACGUGGUCGCUAGCCUUUACCGUGUAAAGCCCCUUCGACGAGUCGAGUUGUUUGGGAAUGCAGCUCUAAAUGGGAGGUAAAUUUCUUCUAAAGCUAAAUACUGGCCAGAGACCGAUAGCGCACAAGUAGAGUGAUCGAAAGAUGAAAAGCACUUUGGAAAGAGAGUUAAAAAGCACGUGAAAUUGUUGAAAGGGAAGCGCUUGCAGCCAGACUUGCCUGUAGUUGCUCAUCCGGGUUUCUACCCGGUGCACUCUUCUAUAGGCAGGCCAGCAUCAGUUUGGGCGGUUGGAUAAAGGUCUCUGUCAUGUACCUCCUUUCGGGGAGAACUUAUAGGGGAGACGACAUGCAACCAGCCUGGACUGAGGUCCGCGCAUCUGCUAGGAUGCUGGCGUAAUGGCUGUAAGCGGCCCGUCUUGAAACACGGACCAAGGAGUCUAACAUCUAUGCGAGUGUUUGGGUGUCAAGCCCGAGCGCGUAAUGAAAGUGAACGGAGGUGGGAACCUUUCGGGGUGCACCAUCGACCGAUCCUGAUGUCUUCGGAUGGAUUUGAGUAAGAGCAUAGCUGUUGGGACCCGAAAGAUGGUGAACUAUGCUUGAAUAGGGUGAAGCCAGAGGAAACUCUGGUGGAGGCUCGCAGCGGUUCUGACGUGCAAAUCGAUCGUCAAAUUUGGGCAUAGGGGCGAAAGACUAAUCGAACUAUCUAGUAGCUGG
rnacentral:rRNA from 1 species